AUGUGUCUUCUCAUUCGAAUUCUUGCUGAAAUCAAAUUUUCUACGUCCUAGCACCGCUGAAUAAGACUCAAGGACUGCAUAGAGCUACCUGUAUCUCCGUACUCUGGGUACAUGAUAUCAGCGUUGCCAUCUCUCUCUUUUCUAUUGAUACUGUACAUGUGAAUACACUCUUAUAUCGGAAAACUCCAGAUCAGCUAUUAGAAAGUGAGCUGAAUUUCUACAUUGCCUCUCUAUUAAAAUCAGAGGACGUUGAGGGUCAGGUAUCCGGAGACCAUCCACCGGACUCUUUCGAUGCCUCUAAAGCUUCAGAAAAUCUUAUUAGUUACAUUGUUAUGGCUUUCAAAAUAUUUGUGUCAGUGAGCUGCAUAGUUCAUUGUUCUGAAAACAUACAGUACAUUUCACUAAAAAGUUACUGACUGUAAGUGGAUCAGUCUGCCCUUUCUGUUUGUUUACUGACACUAACAGGUUCAAAUAUGCCUGGCUGUAGAACAAAGGGCAGCUAUUUUCAUACAGCACAGAGGUCUGAAGUGAAACACUAAUACCAAAAUAGAAAAUUGCACAUUGUUGUAGUUUUGCAACAGCUGGAGACACUGUUUGUAAAACACUGAUCUAUGAGAUCUAUAAGGCUUGCCUUCCAGUACCCCUGCCUAUGGAUGCAAAUGUCCUCAUGAAGGCAGCAACAAGUGGCACUGUGUGUCCCCAACUUGAUGAAGAAUAUACUAUCUAAUAUCUUUUUCUGUAUUUAAUACAGUAAAGAACUGCAGAUAAUAGAUAGUGGCCAAUUACUUUAUGUAUAUUAUUGUGUUAUGUGGGAUUUAUCCAGUAUCUCUAGUUUCUGUCCAUCUCCUAGUCCAUUUGGAUAACAUCAGCUGUAAUUCUGCCGUUCUGUACAUGACUGCAAAAAACUACACUUUAUUUAAAACAUCCCGUACAACAGAGGCUGCAUGGAAACACAGUUUAUCAAGAAAGGAUUUUUGUUGCAAUUUAAUGGAAAAUCUCUAGAAGCAAUUAAAGUUGCUGGACAGAAAUAUCUGUAAUGUGACAUCUUCUAAAUAUGUAACAGAAGGACGAAAAAGCACUUGAUAGUGUAAGCUCUACAAGCACGAAAUACACCAUUGCCAGGAAUACUGACAUUUGAGUAAAAUAAAAGAGGAGGUAUAAUCUACAGUAGGUGAAAGAUCUGCCUGCUCAGCCAUUCACAGGUCCUGCUCUGACAUAUUGUCUCAGGAGUAGCUACAAGUGGGAAACAACAGAUAACUGGAAGUCACCAAACUGGGAGCUGUGGGAGUAACUAUGGUUCGUACCUAGAAAACCCUGGCUCUUGAUAUGCCAGCUGACCUCUUUGGAUGAUAGACAUCAGCUCUUGACAAAUCUCCUCUUCCUGUUCAUCGACAGACGUCAUGAUUAUUGGUGUUGAUGGCCCUGGUGCACACUCUGAGAGAGCCAGUUCAUUUCCAGGAGUCUCAGGAACUUUAUCCACAGAAGUCAUUGUAGCAAUGUAAAAAAUUAACAACUAUUACAGGGAUUUUCGACAAGAAGCAAACCCUCCUGAAGCUCUCCAAUAUUGAGAAACAAGAAACAUCUAAAAUGGCCAUAUUAUUACCAUUGAAAUUGUACUCUAGUUCCAGCUGCUCCAUUCAGAAGCAAUGGUGUUAUGUCAAAAAUCAUAGCAAUGGUUGGUCAAUGUGAUCAUGUGAUGUCAUUAUGGGACCAUGUCUAAAUUUGAGCCAAGUAGAGCUGAUCACUAAAGUAGGGUGUUUAUGUAUAUAUUACGGUUUAUCAAGUCACACAAUGUUAACUAAGACUUGCUAUUCACUAGUUCACUUGGUACCUAGUUAAUAAAUACAAUGUAUAAUUCAUGCUAUACAUAUAUAUUACAUACAUUUCUGUAUACUAUUUAUUGCAGAUUUGCAGCUUUUUCCCAAUUUUGACACCCUGGACCUUCUGUUUGCACUUUUGACAAACAAGCAAAGCUGUGAACUGGUAACAGAUCAUUUUUAUAGUCUUUAUUUUUAGAAGUAUAACAUUCUAGUGUCAGUCAACAGUAUUACAACUGAUGCCAGCCAUUGCAGGUGAAAAAGACACUGGACACCAGACUGUAUGUAUUAUACACUGACCCCAUUUAUACAUUUGCAGUUUGAAUACAAUUUUACAGAAUCCUGACAGAGCUAUUUGCAGGUGCAUAAAUCUAAAAUUAUUUUUCUAAUAUACUAAGUCUAUACACUGAUCGAUCAUAACAUUAAAACCACUGAUAGCUGAAAUGAAUAACAUUGACUUGAAUUUGUCAUGGCAAUGGAAAGUGUCAAGGGGUGGUAUGAACUAGGCAUCAAAUAAGUGGUCUCUUUUUAAUGUAAAAGAGUUGAAAGCAGGAAACUGGACAAGUGGAAAGAUCUGAGUAACUUUGAUAGGGUCAGAGCAUCAUCAACAUGGUGGUUCUUGGGGGGCGGGGGGGUGUUCUCAAUGUGCAGUGGUUAGUACCUUCCAAAAGUGGUCCACGCCAAAACAUCUGGUGAACCAGUGACAAUGUCUAGGGCACUCAAGGCUCUGUGAUGGACAUGGAGAGCUUAGGAUAGGGGAUAAGAGCUAAGGAUAGGGGAUAAGAUGUCUGAUGAUGAAGGUCCGGCCGAUGGGACCCCCUGCGAUCUCCCGCGCAUCACCCCAGUUAUCUGGUGCCAAGAGUGAACUCUGCUCCGUGACGGAUGACGGGCAACCACAGCCGUAUUGCCCCCUUCAUUCAUUUCUACGAGAGGAGGCGUGACAGCUAUGUAUUAUCUGUCACGCCCGUUCCCAUAGAUAUGAAUGGAGGGUGUGUGGUGUCACAUGUUCAGAACACUGCAGUGCCAGACCCCCGUGAUCGAUGUCUAGUGUGAAGUACCCCUUUAAGCUUUAGUUUUCAAUGUUAUGGCUGAUCAGUGUAUAAUGUGCUCUGUAUCUGUACAAGUGUUAAUUUCUAGAUUUUAUACAAAUAAUGUCAUUAUUUUCCACAGGAUAAUAAACUGAUUUGGAAAUAACUAUUCUUUGUUCUGUAAACUGUAAGUAAAGUAAAUAGUUGGAAACUUUGCAAAAUUUUAAAAUGGCUAUUUAUAUCCAUAGCCAACUUACGGCUGAUAAAUAUGUUUAUAAUAAUGGGAAAUGUGCAGUUAUUAAUGACUGAUAUCCUGGAGAAAGAAAGAAUGAGGCAUUUUGAAUACCAAAAUGACCGACCUUUGGUUCCCUUCUUCUUAGUUUCUGUAAUUUGAUAGCCACCUUUACAAGAGCAGGGUAUUUUCAUUACUAGGCAAAAGAGGUAUAACUUGCACCAAAGCUCCACCUGGCUGUCAAGUCAGAGAGAUACAUUUCGAUGUCUGCCCGUGUUGUUGCUUUUUUCUAUUUUUCUGAUUUACUGUGCACAUUUUACGAAAUGACAGGUAGCGAGAUUUUAGAUAUUAUAGAAGUUUCUUAAUGAAAAACAAAAUCAUUACCUGAAAAUUUAGUCAUGGGAGAAAAAAAAUACACAAACACAACCUGCAUGUGUCCUAUUCGGUUCUGUAGAAAAUGAUCAUUACUUUAAAGGCAAACUAAGGCUGGGGUUACUUGGGUUACUGUAUAAAGUUUUUGUCAAAAAGUAUUGCAUGCUGGCACUACUUUUUUGCAACUUUGCCAUAAAGAAAACGCUGCUGGACAUUGCUCAUGGACAUUACAGCAUGAAUAAUUGCGGCUUCACUAAAGUACUACCCCUCUUUAUACACCAAUAAGAAUGGCAUAGUAUUAUCACCUAAUGGUAGAAA